rnacentral:rRNA from 1 species
CCUACGGGCGGCAGCAGUGGGGAAUAUUGCACAAUGGGGGAAACCCUGAUGCAGCAACGCCGCGUGAGUGAAGAAGUAUUUCGGUAUGUAAAGCUCUAUUAGCAGGGAAGAAAAUGACAGUACUUGACUAAGAAGCCCCGGCUAACUACGUGCCAGCAGCCGCGGUAAUACGUAGGGGGCAAGCGUUAUCCGGAUUUACUGGGUGUAAAGGGAGCGUAGGCGGCAAGGCAAGUCUGGAGUGAAAGCCCGUGGCCCAACCACGGGACUGCUUUGGAAACUGUGUUGCUUGAGUGCAGGAGGGGUAGGCGGAAUGCCUAGUGUAGCGGUGAAAUGCGUAGAUAUUAGGAGGAACACCGGUGGCGAAGGCGGCUUACUGGACUGUAACUGACGUUGAGGCUCGAAGGCGUGGGGAGCAAACAGGAUUAGAUACCCCAGUAGUC